rnacentral:rRNA from 1 species
AGCAGGCGCGUAAAUUGCCCGAAUCCUGACACAGGGAGGUAGUGACAAGAAAUAACGAUACAGGGCUACAUCUAGUCUUGUAAUUGGAAUGAGUACAAUUUACAUCUCUUAACGAUGAUCAAUUGGAGGGCAAGUCUGGUGCCAGCAGCCGCGGUAAUUCCAGCUCCAAUAGCGUAUAUUAAAGUUGUUGCAGUUAGAACGCUCGUAGUCGGAUUUCGGGGCGUUCCGACCGGUCUGCCGAUGGGUAUGCACUGGCCGGAGUGUCCUUUUUGCCGGAGACCGUGCCUACUCUUAACUGAGCGGGGGCGGGAGACGGCACUUUUACUUUGAAAAAAUCAGAGUGUUUCAAGCAGGCAGCUCGCUCUUGCAUGGAUUAGCAUGGGAUAAUGAAAUAGGACUUUGGUGCUAUUUUGUUGGUUUCGAACACCGAAGUAAUGAUGAGAAGGGACAGUCAGGGGCACUCGUAUUCCGCAGAGAGAGGUGAAAUUCUCAGACCCGCGGAAGACGAACCACUGCGAAAGCAUUUGCCAGGGAUGUUUUCACUGAUCAAGAACGAAAGUUAGGGGAUCGAAGAUGAUCAGAUACCGUCGUAGUCUUAACCAUAAACCAUGCCGACUAGGGAUUGGAGGAUGUUCACUGAUUGACUCCUUCAGCACCUUACGGGAAACUAAAGUCUUUGGGUUCCGGGGGGAGUAUGGUCGCAAGGCUGAAACUUAAAGGAAUUGACGGAAGGGCACCACCAGGUGUGGAGCCUGCGGCUUAAUUUGACUCAACACGGGGAAACUUACCAGGUCCAGACAUUGUGAGGAUUGACAGAUUGAGAGCUCUUUCAUGAUUUAAUGGGUGGUGGUGCAUGGCCGUUCUUAGUUGGUGAGUGAUUUGUCUGGGUUAAUUCCGUUAACGAACGAGACCUUAGCCUGCUAAAUAGUGACGCGAACUCUUUGUUGGCGGUCCACUUCUUAGAGGGACAACUUGUCUUCAACAAGUGGAAGUUUGAGGCAAUAACAGGUCUGUGAUGCCCUUAGAUGUUCUGGGCCGCACGCGCGCUACACUGAUGCACUCAACGAGUCUCCACCUUGACCGAGAGGUCCGGGAAACCUUCGAACUUGCAUCGUGAUGGGGAUAGAUUAUUGCAACUAUUAAUCUUCAACGAGGAAUACCUAGUAGGCGCAUGUCAUCAGCGCGCGUUGA